rnacentral:rRNA from 2 species
AAGCCAUGCAUGUCUCAGUGCAAGCCGUCUAGUACGGUGAAACCGCGAAAGGCUCAUUAAAUCAGUUAUGGUUCCUUAGAUCGUACCCACGUUACUUGGAUAACUGUGGUAAUUCUAGAGCUAAUACAUGCCGAUAGAGUUCCGACCAGCAGUUCAGAUUUGCGGCGGUUCUCCGUCGCUGCUGGACGUUCGGAAGGAACGCUUUUAUUAGAUCAAAACCGGCUAUAUGGUCGUUCGUCUUCGGACGUGACGGCCAUAAAUGGCCCGCGCAAAGACUUGGUGACUCUGAAUAACUUUGAGCUGAUCGCACGGUCUCGUACCGGCGACGUAUCUUUCAAAUGUCUGCCUUAUCAACUGUCGACGGUAGGUUCGACGCCUACCGUGGUGGUAACGGGUAACGGGGAAUCAGGGUUCGAUUCCGGAGAGGGAGCCUGAGAAACGGCUACCACAUCCAAGGAAGGCAGCAGGCGCGCAAAUUACCCACUCCCAGCUCGGGGAGGUAGUGACGAAAAAUAACGAUACGGGACUCAUUCGAGGCCCCGUAAUCGGAAUGAGUACACUUUAAAACCUUGGUCAC